GGGACGGCCACGUGUAGACUGCUGGGCUGCGUCAAUACUGACCAGAUGAUCUUUGGAGACUUCAGAUCCACUGGCACAUCUUCACCCAUAAUAUUUUUGUUUUGCCUUUUAUCAAGAUUUGUUUGCUGUUACUUUAUGUGUCUGAAUGUUUUUCCAGUAUAUCUAUAAGUGCACUGUGUGUGCCCAGUACCCACGGAGGCUAGAAGAGGGUGUUGGAUUCCCUGGAACUGGAGUUGCAAGCCUCUCUGUGGGUGCUAGGAAUUGAAUCCAUCUCUCUAGACCUCUUACCCAUAUUUUUAAAACUUUAAAUCUAGAGGAACAAGUCUCCUCGAAUGCACAGCUGAAAUUGAAAGUGGCAAGAGCCCUGUGCAGAAAAGUGCCACACUACCUCAAGCCAUGCGACACAAGACCCUAGGACCCUGCUACUUCUGUUUGCAAGAUAUACGCUGUUAUAUCCAGAGGCAGUGAAGAGAGAGACCUGCUUCAUUGGAGACAGAUGUUGAAAACACAGCUGCCCCUACAUCAAGACGGACUGCAGACUUCACCCUGACAAGGGAGACAGGAUCUCUGCAAGAACAAUAUAGACUUUUAACCACUAAGCCAUUUUAUUUUAGCUCAUAGGAUUUGUGUGUGUGUGUGUGUGUGUGUGUGUGUGUGUGUGUGUGUAGGGGUAUUUGUUUGUUUGUUUCUUUUUUUUAAGAUUUAUUUAUUUAUUAUUUUAUGUAUGUGAGUACACUGUCCUCAGACACACCAGAAGAGGGCAUUGAAUCCCAUUACAGAUGGUUGUGAGCCACCAUGUGGUUGCUGGGAAUUGAACUCAGGACCUCUGGAAGAGCAGUCAGUGCUCUUAACCUCUGAGCCAUCUCUCCAGCCCCCUGUUUGUUUGUUUCUUGAAACAAAGUCUCUCUGUGUAGCCCUGGCUGGCCUGAACUCAAGACCAGACUGGCUUUGAACUGUCAGAGAUCCAUCUGCCUUUGCCUCCCAAGUGCUGGGACCACCUCCACCACUCAGCAGCUUUUUUUCUUAAACACCAUCUUAUGCAGCCAAGUCUUGAACCUCACUAAUAGCCAAGGACGAAUCUUGAGCUUCUGAUCCUCGUGGCUUAACCUCUCUAGUGCUGAGGCCAUAGGUACUCACACCACACCUGGUUUUCUGCUGUGCAGGGGGAUAGACCCUAGAACUUUGUGAUUCUAGAAAAGCCCUUCACAAGUGCUGGAAUUAGACAUGAGUUACUAACCACACUCUGGGAUUACCUCGGAAUUUUAGCAUGUGAAUUAUUUUGUCUGUGACACACUUGCUAAAGAUCAUUUUCCUUGUCUCCUCUCACCCAGUUCCCUCUCUGUAGAAGCAGACCUAUCAGAUUGAGAGCAAGGGUCACACAUCUAGUCCAUACCUCUCUUGCUGUCUUGUUCUCCCCCUGCCAUGCGGCUCCCGAUGGCUUAAUACUCAUUAUGUAGCCUAGCUGGCCUUGAACUUUCUGCAGUCCUGCCUUAGCCUGUCAAACACUCAUAAUCCUUUUUAAAACAAAUAUGAUCUGGGACCAGAGUGAUGACUUAGCUAAGAGCAUUGGCUGUUCUUCCAG
ensembl:lncRNA